CCUACGGGAGGCAGCAGUGGGGAAUUUUGGACAAUGGGCGAAAGCCUGAUCCAGCCAUUCCGCGUGCAGGAUGAAGGCCCUCGGGUUGUAAACUGCUUUUGUACAGAACGAAAAGGUUUCUAUUAAUACUAGGAGCUCAUGACGGUACUGUAAGAAUAAGCACCGGCUAACUACGUGCCAGCAGCCGCGGUAAUACGUAGGGUGCAAGCGUUAAUCGGAAUUACUGGGCGUAAAGCGUGCGCAGGCGGUUAUAUAAGUCAGAUGUGAAAUCCCCGGGCUCAACCUGGGAACUGCAUUUGAGACUGUAUAGCUAGAGUACGGUAGAGGGGGAUGGAAUUCCGCGUGUAGCAGUGAAAUGCGUAGAUAUGCGGAGGAACACCGAUGGCGAAGGCAAUCCCCUGGACCUGUACUGACGCUCAUGCACGAAAGCGUGGGGAGCAAACAGGAUUAGAUACCCUGGUAGUCCACGCCCUAAACGAUGUCAACUGGUUGUUGGGUCUUAACUGACUCAGUAACGAAGCUAAUGCGUGAAGUUGACCGCCUGGGGAGUACGGCCGCAAGGUUGAAACUUAAAGGAAAUUGACGGCUGGAGAGUGCGAGGACGACGACGAGGGAGGAGG
rnacentral:rRNA from 1 species